AAUAAGUGUAGUUUUGCACUGUUUAUUUCGACGUUUGACCGUUCGUCUUAUUUAAAAAUUUUUAUGAUUAAUAUUUUUACUGUCAUUAGAUGAUAAAAUAUGAAUAGUACUUUACGUGUGACUAUUUUUUUUUCAAUUUUUUCAUAAAUUUUUCAAAUAUGACGGAUGCUUAAAUAUUGGACACAGAUACCUACUGCUGCAAUUAUU
rnacentral:pre_miRNA from 1 species